rnacentral:rRNA from 1 species
AGGGUUCGAUUAUGGCUCAGGAUGAACGCUAGCGGCAGGCCUAACACAUGCAAGUCGAACGGUAACAGAUCCAGCUUGCUGGAUGCUGACGAGUGGCGCACGGGUGCGUAACGCGUAUGCAACCUACCCUUGACAGGGGGAUAGCCCAGAGAAAUUUGGAUUAAUACCCCAUAAUACUUUUAGAAGGCAUCUUCUGAAUUUUAAAACUCCGGUGGUCAAGGAUGGGCAUGCGUCCCAUUAGCUAGUUGGGGAGGUAACGGCUCACCAAGGCAACGAUGGGUAGGGGUUCUGAGAGGAUGAUCCCCCACACUGGUACUGAGACACGGACCAGACUCCUACGGGAGGCAGCAGUGAGGAAUAUUGCGCAAUGGAGGAAACUCUGACGCAGCCAUGCCGCGUGCAGGAAGACUGCCUUAUGGGUUGUAAACUGCUUUUAUAUAGGAAGAAAUGCUUUUACGUGUAAAGGUUUGACGGUACUAUAUGAAUAAGGACCGGCUAACUCCGUGCCAGCAGCCGCGGUAAUACGGAGGGUCCAAGCGUUAUCCGGAUUCAUUGGGUUUAAAGGGUGCGUAGGCGGGAUGCUAAGUCAGUGGUGAAAGCCCACAGCUCAACUGUGGAACUGCCAUUGAUACUGGUAACCUAGAGUACGAUUGAAGUGGACGGAAUAUGGCAUGUAGCGGUGAAAUGCAUAGAGAUGCCAUAGAACACCGAUAGCGAAGGCAGUUCACUAAGCCGUAACUGACGCUGAUGCACGAAAGCGUGGGUAGCGAACAGGAUUAGAUACCCUGGUAGUCCACGCUGUAAACGAUGAUUACUCGCUGUUGGCGAUAUACUGUCAGUGGCUGAGCGAAAGCAUUAAGUAAUCCACCUGGGGAGUACGGUCGCAAGAUUGAAACUCAAAGGAAUUGACGGGGGCCCGCACAAGCGGUGGAGCAUGUGGUUUAAUUCGAUGGUACGCGAGGAACCUUACCAGGGCUUAAAUGUAGAUUGACAGGACUAGAAAUAGUUUUUUCUUCGGACAAUUUACAAGGUGCUGCAUGGUUGUCGUCAGCUCGUGCUGUGAAGUGUCGGGUUAAGUCCCAUAACGAGCGCAACCCCUAUUCUUAGUUGCCAGCACAUCAUGGUGGGGACUCUAAGAAAACUGCCAGCGCAAGCUGUGAGGAAGGUGGGGAUGACGUCAAAUCAUCACGGCCCUUACGUCCUGGGCUACACACGUGCUACAAUGGUGCAUACAGAGGGCAGCUACCUGGCGACAGGAUGCGAAUCUCGAAAGUGCAUCUCAGUUCGGAUUGAAGUCUGCAACUCGACUUCAUGAAGCUGGAAUCGCUAGUAAUCGCGUAUCAGCCAUGACGCGGUGAAUACGUUCCCGGGCCUUGUACACACCGCCCGUCAAGCCAUGGAAGCUGGGGGUGCCUGAAGUCGGUGACCGCAAGGAGCUGCCUAGGGUAAAACUAGUAACUGGGGCUAAGUCGUAACAAGGUAACC